rnacentral:lncRNA from 1 species
CAAUCCCAUAUGAUCCAUGCAAAGUGGGGACACCAGCUUCACGGGUAGAGAAACUUCUAGACAGAAAAAGCAGAAUAUAUGGGAUACCUUCCCUUCCUGCCCUAACAAAUGAGGAUUUGAACCAGGGGAAAAUCCCACAGCCUUCAGUAUUUAUCUUAGGCUAUGGGAUGAAACAUUCCAGAAAUAGUGAGGGAGGAGUGAGGUGAGAUCCUACAAUGUGAGCACAAUUUGAGAUGGGUCAGAUUUAGGCUUGUGGAAAUAAAUGGUAUUAUUUGACCUCCAAAAAAGGAAGCCAUGGUUUCUGCCGCUGUCCCUGAAGUGGGAAAGAGCAAAGGACCAACCAUGCUUUUGCAUAGACCAUCAUCAGUCUUUCCAAUUCUGGAAUAAAGUAUGACCAGGGUGAAAUCAAAACAUUUAAUCAACUAUAGACGUGGGUUGGGAGAAUUUGCUAAGGCUAGGCCUAUGGCAGGGUCUAACCUUAUCACACUUUGGUAAUUAGCACACACAUAAUUGGUGGCUUUGUGUUGGGUUACAGAACUGUAAGACAUAUCAGCAUGGCUUAAACAGCCUCUGUGCCUUCUCUUGGUGACAAGGCAUUAAGAUGGAAGCCUCUUAGCAGGAGUCAGCAUUCACCAUCCUUGUAAUUCUGUUCUUCGGAAGUGGGAACCUAGGACGACACGUGGGGUGGCUGUAAAGAUAUGCUCUAUAGAAAGAAGAAGAAAUUAAUUCUCAGUGUGGCUCUUGGCCCUCAGUACCUUCUGUGUUCAACACUAAGCAGAUAAAAGAGGAAAAUAAAGAGCCUGUGCCUUA